GAUGAACGCUAGCUACAGGCUUAACACAUGCAAGUCGCGGGGCAGCAUGGGGGUUGCUUGCAAUCCCCGAUGGCGACCGGCGCACGGGUGAGUAACGCGUAUCCAACCUGCCCUUCACCACGGGAUAACCCGGCGAAAGUCGGACUAAUACCGUAUGUUGUCCAUUGACGGCAUCCGAUUUGGACGAAAGGCUUGGCGGUGAUGGAUGGGGAUGCGUCCGAUUAGACAGACGGCGGGGUGACGGCCCACCGUGGCUACGAUAGGUAGGGGUUAUGAGAGGAAGGUCCACCACACUGGAACUGAGACACGGUCCAGACUCCUACGGGAGGCAGCAGUGAGGAAUAUUGAUCAAUGGGCGUAAGCCUGAACCAGCCAAGUAGCGUGCAGGAUGACGGCCCUAUGGGUUGUAAACUGCUUUUAUGCGGGGAUAAAGUGGCCCACGUGUGGGCUUUUGCAGGUACCGAAUGAAUAAGGACCGGCUAAUUCCGUG
rnacentral:rRNA from 1 species